rnacentral:rRNA from 1 species
UCCGUAGGCGGCCUGGAAAGUUGGAUGUGAAAUCCCACAGCUUAACUGUGGAACUGCAUUCAAAACUUCUAGGCUCGAGUGUGAUAGGGGUAAAGGGAAUUCCCGGUGUAAGGGUGAAAUCUGCAGAGAUCGGGAGGAACACCAGUCGCGAAGGCGCUUUACUGGAUCACUACUGACGCUGAGGGACGAAAGCCAGGGGAGCAAACAGGAUUAGAUACCCUGGUAGUCC